rnacentral:lncRNA from 1 species
UCUGCAUAGGUUGUACACAUUCACUAUAAGUCGCGUAAAAGUUCAAGAGAACUUUAGAGCCAACCAUGCUGUGCAAAAGUAGGCACUUAUCAAACUACCGAGGUGUGACUGCAUAGGGACGCUACGAAGCCUUUACAAAGAUUUCCUAGUAGGUAGUAGUUCGCUAAGGUUUCGACAAUUGCGUGUGCAUAACCCUCCCCUGGUGAGUAUCUACAAAGAGAAUACCACUCAAAGGAGCCAAGCUAUACCCCAUCACAAGACCCGCUCUUGCCCUUUCGGUAAGACCACCACAAACUAGAGUCUCUAAUUAAUAAGCCAAGACCUGUUGGUCUUAUGGUUGUACUGUUUUCCUGAGUGGUCACUCCAUGUUCCAAUUAAGGCACGUGAGUGGUUGUAAUUAACAAAGAUGCAUAACAGAAAUAAAUUAGGUUCAUUGUUGUUCAUUACUUCCCACCAUAAACCAAGUAUAGCAACUAGCAUAGCUACCCAACCAUAAAGUAAAACCUAGGUUGACAAAGGAUAAUAUGGAAACUAGGUAAAUCCUUAAUUAGGACCCAUCAAAUUAAGAUUCAAGCGUGCAUAGCAUAUGUUUCAUGUAUAAAUGUUGUAUAGGACAUAAUGUGAUCAUGGACACACUUGCCUUUAUCCACAGUACCAUUGCUGCUCAAAAUGUCUCCAUCUCCUUACUCUCGAAUGUCCUCGAAGUGUGUUCGUACUACUCGUGACAAUCAUUCAAAGCAAACAUCCAGAGCACACACAUACAA